rnacentral:rRNA from 1 species
ACCUGUUUUCAUUCGGAACACAGAAGUUAAGCUCUUAUUCGCUGAUGGUACUGCGAGUUCGCGGGAGAGUAAGUUGUUGCCAGGG